rnacentral:rRNA from 1 species
UACGGAGGGUGCAAGCGUUAUCCGGAAUCACUGGGCGUAAAGGGCGCGUAGGCGGUCUGUUAAGUCUGGCGUUAAAGCCUGGGGCUCAACCCCAGAUCAGCGUUGGAUACUGGCAGGCUAGACGGUUGGAGAGGCGAGUGGAAUUACCAGUGUAGCGGUGGAAUGCGUAGAUACUGGUAGGAACACCCAUUGCGAAGGCAGCUCGCUGGACAACACGUGACGCUGAGGCGCGAAAGUGUGGGGAGCAAACCGGAUUAGAUACCCGGUA